UACAGAGGUCUCAAGCGUUGUUCGGAUUCAUUGGGCGUAAUGGGUGUGUAGGUGGCGCCGUAAGUCGGGUGUGAAAUUUCGGAGCUUAACUCCGAAACUGCAUUCGAUACUGCGGUGCUUGAGGACUGGAGAGGAGACUGGAAUUCAUGGUGUAGCAGUGAAAUGCGUAGAGAUCAUGAGGAAGACCAGUGGCGAAGGCGGGUCUCUGGACAGUUCCUGACGCUGAGGAGCGAAAGCGUGGGGAGCAAACAGG
rnacentral:rRNA from 1 species